rnacentral:rRNA from 1 species
GACGAACGCUGGCGGCGUGCUUAACACAUGCAAGUCGGGGGGCACUAUUGGGGCAACCUGGUAGUGACCGGCGAACGGGUGCGUAACACGUGAGCGACCUUGCCUCGUGGUGGGGGAUAGCCGGCCCAACGGCCGGGUAAUACCGCAUAUGGUAGUUUCUUCGCAUGAGGAGACUAGCAAAGCCUUGGAGCAAUCCAAUGGCGCCACAGGGGGGGC